UACUGGAGAGGGAAGAGUGAGCAGCCUUCCAGCGCCAACUCGCUCCCCUCCCUGCAAGCUCCGAAAGGCCGCCUGCACUGGGCUGCCGGUUGCUAUGGAGACCUGGAAGGGCAGCUUCAGUUGAAAAAUAUAGGAAAAGUGAUCAUCUAUCAGUGUCCACCAGGAUGGUGCAUGAAGUCAAGCCAAAAGCUGCCAGGAAGCAGGAGUAGCUGCAUAAACUCAACAAGGAGGCCCUGGAAUGAGAUGCCAGCCCUGCAAGGGACGUAGAAACUGAGGCCCAGAAGAGCGGCUGGCCCCGGGUAAGUGGCAUUGGCAGGAUUCAAAAUCUCGAUUUCGGACACCAACAUCUAUCCUCUUACACAAAUGUUGGCAAUUAUUCAUAUAAAGUGAUUAUACAUUAGAGGAAUAAUACUCCUU